rnacentral:rRNA from 1 species
CCUUGUACACACCGCCCGUCACACCAUGGGAGUGGGUUCCACCAGAAGUAGGUAGCCUAACCGCAAGGGGGCGCUUACCACGGUGAGAUUACAUGACUGGGGUG